rnacentral:rRNA from 1 species
GACGAACGCUGGCGGCGUGCCUAAUACAUGCAAGUAGAACGCUGAAGGAGGAGCUUGCUUCUCCGGAUGAGUUGCGAACGGGUGAGUAACGCGUAGGUAACCUGCCUGGUAGCGGGGGAUAACUAUUGGAAACGAUAGCUAAUACCGCAUAAGAGUAGAUGUCGCAUGACAUUUGCUUAAAAGGUGCAACUGCACCACUACCAGAUGGACCUGCGUUGUAUUAGCUAGUUGGUGAGGUAACGGCUCACCAAGGCAACGAUACAUAGCCGACCCGAGAGGGUGAUCGGCCACACUGGGACUGAGACACGGCCCAGACUCCUACGGGAGGCAGCAGUAGGGAAUCUUCGGCAAUGGACGGAAGUCUGACCGAGCAACGCCGCGUGAGUGAAGAAGGUUUUCGGAUCGUAAAGCUCUGUUGUAAGAGAAGAACGAGUGUGAGAGUGGAAAGUUCACACUGUGACGGUAUCUUACCAGAAAGGGACGGCUAACUACGUG